GGGUGAUUAGCUCAGCUGGGAGAGCACCUCCCUUACAAGGAGGGGGUCGG
rnacentral:tRNA from 1 species